GCAUUCCAGGCCCAGGACCUCAGUGAGGACGACCUCAAAAGGGAUCUCUUACAUGGUCGGUGACAUUGGGCUCCCUAUGAUCAAUUUUACGCACCUGAAGUGGAGGGUCGCGAACAAUCAUUCCCGGCCCAGGACCCUGGUGAGGAGGAUCUAGAACACCAAGGUGUGCAGGCUCGAUUUGUAAAUGGGCAGUGACCAAACGCUACCGUGUGCCAUCAACUCUGCCAAAGGUAUGGCUGACAAGAAGGAGUGUGCACAAAAUCGAACGAGAGAUAUUCUUGCGAAUGCAAAGCGUCAUGGUGAUUACUUAAGGGGGCCUCUGAUUUAUUAAAAGGAAAAAGAAAUAAAAGUGUGGUUUAUUUUUUCGCGAGCAAGCGAAAACAGCGUCCCAGA